UACGUAGGUGGCAAGCGUUGUUCGGAAUUAUUGGGCGUAAAGGGUGAGUAGGCGGUUUGUUAAGUCGGUUGUGAAAGCCCGGGGCUCAACCCCGGAGGGUCGACCGAUACUGGCAGGCUAGAGUACAGAAGAGGUAACUGGAAUUCCCGGUGUAGCGGUGAAAUGCGUAGAUAUCGUAAGGAAGACCAGUGGCGAAGGCGGGUCUCUGGACAGUUCCUGACGCUGAGGCACGAAGGCCAGGGGAGCAAACGGG
rnacentral:rRNA from 1 species